GGGCUGUCAACAAAAUUUGUUUCGUCAAUACGAAAAUGAGACCAUAAAAUUUAUCAACCAGACAAAUGAAACGAAAAGUAUAUUUGAUUUGAGUCUCACAAGUGUUCGGUAAAAUUUAAAAUCAUCAACGUCACAACCUAACGUGGUUUGAUCUGCUUAUAUCAACUUUGUCUCGUUGACGUUUGUAUAGGUUUAUAAUCGACUGAAACGAAAUCCAUUAAUGCAUACGAGGUUAUACGGUAGAGACGAAUCAACUGAAGUUGGCCCUGUCAUACACUGGUUACUUCGCCUGGAUAAUCCUGUAGAUGGAUAAAUUUGAAAAUAACAUAAUCACAACAAAUUAUCUACCUUUUUCUGUAGAGAACCAUGGCGUUACUUCCGACUGAUAUAAACCGUUCUUCUUAACCUUAUGCAAGUGAAAUGCAUAACUUGUAUCCGCUGAUAAAUUUCCGAAUGUCGAGACUGUACCAUUUUUCUGUGAAACGAGAGGGUUUUUUUAAAUGAAAAUUAGCAAGAAAAGAAAACUCACGACAUAUGCCUCCGUCCAAGACUCAUUUUGAUCAUUUAUCUCAAUCACGUAUAAUCCUGGAUCAUGCGCAAUCAUCAAAAUAUUUGGACCGGCACAAUGAACGCGAACAUUAGCAGCAGUUUUUUCUUUCAAAAAAAUAAUACCUAUAAAAAAAAUAUAUGUGUUGUAGUACCCAAAUGAAGUCUGAAUAUAUAAAAUUCUUUACUUUCAAUAAUUCAUGACUGUUUCUACGAAGUUGUAAGAAUUCAGUAUUACAUAUGUUACAUCAGAUUAAAAUUACGACCACGAUAUACUUAUUCGAAUAAUCCGCCAGUUUUAUCGUCGGAUAUCGAAAAUAUGACAUUCAAAUAGUCAAAAAUAUGUAUAAAUAUUCUAUACCGUUUCGCAAAGUGUAUUUAAUAAUUGUAUUUGAUACUUAUGCUAUAAAUAAAGGCGAGACAAAAAAAAUCCUUGAGACGCCUAAUGACAAUUUAAAAUAAA